GACUCUUUGUUUUUAAACUCUUUGUUUAUUAAUCAUCCAGACUUCACACCAUUCACACACACAUUAACUGUGACGUGGAAAUUACAGGUUUUCCAGUUUGAUCUGAACAUAUAAAAAAUAAGCUUGUCUUCACACACAAAGCUUAAAGUAAGUUUCAAAAUCAAUUAGACAUCUUGGGAAGAAUCUGUGAAACAUUUUUAGCCAAUCAGAUGAUCCUUGUUUGCUGCCAAAUACUCUUCUCAGAUGACAUUCUUUUCCAGGCCAGAGCAAAAUUACCAAGGCCUCCAUCGUACAGACCUCCCUUAAUAAAAUGCAAUGCUGGACUCGAGUUGUUUUCUUCUUUAGCUACUUUAAAUGAAUGUCAAACAUUAUUCUUUAACUUUUGAGUAUUU